GAACGAAAGUCUUAGAUGGUGUGGAGCAUCUUAAGGGUGAGUGAUGACAUAAUUCAAAUUGUUUUGGGGGAACUAUGAAAUUAAUUAGAAAAUAUAGCGGUAUGUUCUUAUUUUUACCAGCUUCUGCAAGCGUGUAUGGUGUCUGGCUGUUGGUACCUCACUGUGACUUCAGGUAAGAUUUGUAUUUAAUUAUGUUAUUUGUCUGUUCCAGUCGUGUUUUUGACACAUGCAUUGGCAGAAAAAAUAAAUAAAAUUGUUUCAUUAUAACAUGUACAACAUUAACAGUUUUUAUUUGCAACAUGAAGUGUACUGAACAAUUUGGCUUUAUUGUAAUGAGGUUAAUGAUCUUUGAAAAACCAUGAUUAUGAACAUACAGUUACUUUGUCUUGAGCUGACCACCCAACUGUGGUAGUGUUGGUUGAUUGGUGUUUAUAUUUGUUCAAACUUGACAACCUUAUCGACUUUAUUUUCUAAUAUAUAUUUCUCAUUACAGAUAAGAACAAAGAUUAAAUUGUAAGAAGGGCUGCUUGUAAGAGCAUACAGUACAUCUGAAACUGCUGAGGCUGGGAAGGUUUUUGACUAUAUUUCCGACCAGAUCAGCUACUAUACUACUCUGAGUGCAGAGACAAGCAAAGGAAUACUGCAAGGCACUUGUGAAAAAUAUUGUAUACCAGGACGACUAGGCUGUGCCCAGGUCUCCGGAACCUGCGACGACGCUCAGCUCCAUCGGCCCUCCGUCUGCGCCUUCGGAUCCACCAGCUCUGUCUCUAUCAGUCGGCCCCCAGAUGUUGGCAGCCACACCAUCUACAUCUUGGCUCCUCCCUCCCUCGACUCCGCCGUGUGUUAUCAGCACUGGGAUGCUCUGGGUCUGUGCCAUGUGCCAAACUCCAUCUAAGCCACCAGGGCAUCAUCGUCAUCCUCCCAUCACCAUCCCUUCGCCACAUCCUGCCAUCAUCCCGCACCUUUGCCUCUCACCAUUCCUACACCAUCUCCUCGUUCACCUCCAAAACCCCCUCCAUCCCUCCCUAUUCUGUUUCUUGAACUUUAUCAUCUUCAGUCUUUGCACACACAUCUAUUCACUUCUGCACUUUGUUUUUCUGUACAUUUUUUUCUGUUUUUUUUUCUUCAGAAAAUUGCAUUGUAAUAUUUAUUUAUUCAUUGAUGUAAAAUUCUUUA